rnacentral:lncRNA from 1 species
GGAUUGUCUUGAUCUCCUGACCUCGUAAUCUGCCCGCCUUAGCCUCCCAAGGUGCUGGGAUUACAGGCAUAAGCCACCAAGCCCAGACUAAAAAAUUUUAUUCAACUCAUUAAGAGUCAACCAAUAAGAGAUUACAACUGAUUCUGAAGACAAUUUAAAGUACCACACAUUAACAGUGAGAAUUUGACUUGGGGAAGAAGAAGAAAAGAAGGUGGAUUUCAGCAUGAAAGAAUCUAAACAGUCAUUAGUGAACAAAUGUGUAGCAGUGCUGUCCAACAGAACUUUCUGAAGAAGUAAUGGGAAUACUCUGUAUCUGUGAUGUCCUGUAUGGUAGCCACUGGCCUCACACAGCUCUUGAGCACUUGAAAUGUGGCUACUGUGACUGAGUAAUUGAGUUUUAAAAUUUCAUCAAUUUUAAUUAAUUGAAAUUUAAAUAGCCACAUGAGGCCAGUGACUACAGAAUUGAACAGCACAGGUCUCACAGAUGGACUAAGAGUAAGCCAGUUACGAAGAAGCUUAUACAGGAAGACCGGCUAAAAUAUGUCAAAGGAGAGUUUCUCUUUCUGAACUCCGAGGAGCUGUUCAAAUAAGACUGGUCUGGAGAGAGUUUUGGGUGGCUGGAGGUAUUUUCACCCCUCCACUUACUGUGCCUAACCUUAGUAUUGUUGCCAUUCUCACGUUUCUGUAUGACUCCAUCUCCCUUGUUCUGUUCCGAUGCCGCUUUUUCAGUUUUUCUGAGCUCUCAAUUAAACACAGUGAAAUGAAUCUCCUCCAAGUGCCUUUUUAGUGACUAAACUGAAUAGUUGGCUCAGAAUGCUACAAAGUCCUCUCCCUCAGGAAGAACCAAGUUUUACCAUUAAGAUCCUGAUAGAUUUACCAGCUUUAACUGACACCUCUUGGGGUGGCUUCCAGAUUCACACUUUCUCCUUUUUGAGAAGACUCCCAGACACACGGGGAUAGGUCCUGAGUGAUCAUAUUUGAGCCACACAAUCUUGUUACGCUUGCUGUAGAUCCAUGGUUCAAAAACAUUCAAGUGUGUCUGACUCAGCUGGAGGACUUGUGAAGACACAUGUGGUGGGACCCAUCCCUAAAGCUUCUUUUCCAGUAGGUGUGUAGGUGUGGCCCAAGUAUCUGCAUAUCUAACAAGUUCUCAGGUGAUACUGAUGUUGCUGGUCUGGGGAUUGUACUUUAAGAUAAUUAAGUCAGGGACUGUUGCCUGACAUAGGACAAUAAGCUUCUCUCAGGAAUUUGAAAUUUGGAACAAAGAGCUCGGAGUCUUAGUGCUAGUAGACCAGUGCUCUGGAGAGGUCUGAAAACUACCACUGCUUAGGUUCCUAGUUUGUCCAGUUCCUGUUUGUCUUGAGCCUUGGUUGUCUAAUCCUUUGAAUAAAUCCCAUUACAUUCUUUGUUUUGCAUAAACUGGCCAUAGAAAGUUCUUGUUGUCUGCCC